GACGAACGCUGGCGGCGUGCUUAACACAUGCAAGUCGAACGAAGAGCGAUGGUAGCUUGCUUCUAUCAAUCUUAGUGGCGAACGGGUGAGUAACGCGUAAUCAACCUGCCCUUCAGAGGGGGACAACAGUUGGAAACGACUGCUAAUACCGCAUACGAUCUAAUCUCGGCAUCGAGGACAGAUGAAAGGUGGACUCUAUUUAUAAGCUAUAACUGAAGGGGGGGGUUGUGGCUGUGUAGCUAGUUGGAGGGGUAACGGGCCACCAAGGCGAUGGUCAGUAGCCGGUCUGCGAGUAGGAACGGCCAAAUUGGGACUGAGACACGGCCCAGACUCCUACGGGAGGCAGCAGUGGGGAAUCUUCCGCAAUGGACGAAAGUCUGACGGAGCAACGCCGCGUGAGUGAUGACGGCCUUCGGGUUGUAAAGCUCUGUUAAUCGGGACGAAAGGCCUUCUUGCGAACAGUUAGAAGGAUUGACGGUACCGGAAUAGAAAGCCACGGCUAACUACGUG
rnacentral:rRNA from 1 species